rnacentral:rRNA from 1 species
UGCAAGUCGAACGGCAGCACAGAGGAACUUGUUCCUUGGGUGGCGAGUGGCGGACGGGUGAGUAAUGUAUCGGAACGUGCCCAGUAGUGGGGGAUAACUACGCGAAAGCGUGGCUAAUACCGCAUAUUCUCUACGGAGGAAAGGGGGGGAUCAUUUGACCUCUCGCUAUUGGAGCGGCCGAUAUUAGAUUAGCUAGUUGGUGGGGUAACGGCCUACCAAGGCAGUGAUCUAUAGCUGGUUUGAGAGGACGACCAGCCACACUGGGACUGAGACACGGCCCAGACUCCUACGGGAGGCAGCAGUGGGGAAUUUUCGACAAUGGGGGGAACCCUGAUCGAGCCAUCCCGCGUGUGGGACGAAGGCCUUCGGGUUGUAAACCACUUUUCUCAACGAAGAAAAGUCUUAGGCUAAUACCUUAAGAUGCUGACGGUAGUUGAGGAAUAAGCACCGGCUAACUAUGUGCCAGCAGCCGCGGUAAUACAUAGGGUGCAAGCGUUAAUCGGAAUUACUGGGCGUAAAGGGUGCGCAGGCGGCUUGGAAAGAACGGUGUGAAAUCCCGGGGCUCAACCCCGGAACUGCACUAUUAACUAUCAAGCUAGAGUAUGUCAGAGGGGGGUGGAAUUCCGCGUGUAGCAGUGAAAUGCGUAGAUAUGCGGAGGAACACCAAUGGCGAAGGCAGCCCCCUGGGAUAAUACUGACGCUCAGGCACGAAAGCGUGGGUAGCAAACAGGAUUAGAUACCCUGGUAGUCCACGCCCUAAACGAUGUCAACUAGCUGUUGGGCCGGUUACGGCUUAGUAGCGCAGCUAACGCGUGAAGUUGACCGCCUGGGGACUACGGUCGCAAGACUAAAACUCAAAGGAAUUGACGGGGACCCGCACAAGCGGUGGAUGAUGUGGAUUAAUUCGAUGCAACGCGAAAAACCUUACCUACCCUUGACAUGCCUGGAAGCUUUAAGAGAUUAAAGUGUGCUCGCAAGAGAACCGGUGCACAGGUGCUGCAUGGCUGUCGUCAGCUCGUGUCCUGAAAUGUUGGGUUAGUCCCGCACGAGCGCACCCUU